rnacentral:lncRNA from 1 species
UCCUCUUCACGAUCAGGGAAGAAACGACCGGAACAGUUCUGUUCAUCGGUAACCUGCUCAACCCUCUUGCCGGCUGAGUGUUACAACCCCCUGGGAAAGGGCAUCAGAUGUACGUAGAAUAAUACGCGCGAGACUGUAGUAAAUAAAAUGUAUGAUCCUUGUAUACAUGUACUAUGUUUGGUUAUUACCUAAUCACCCUGUACUUGCAGCAGUUGGUCUUGUUUCUCCCAUGUGGCGAUUUUUGUUUGUUCUCCCAUGGCGUUUAUCCAUGUGUAGAAUCUUGAUUCUGAAUACUUAUUUUAUGAUGUACUCUGUUUGAACAAUAAAAGUUUUAGCCGACUGCAAACGUCGGUUAGUGUUAAAGUAUUUAAUAUAUAGAAUGGACGAGUGCUAGUGUUGUACCAUACACAUGGUUGGUGAUGAAAAAGAUUAAACUUUGAAUAUUCUAUAAAAUAUUAUUUAACUUGGGACGAGGAUCUUCUUUGUGAGGAUCUUAUGAAUUAAUUUAUCUUAACGGUUCAUUGUACAUCGUGUGACCAUCUUUCAUUAGAUACUUUUUGUGUUAAAUUUUAAAUAAAUUCAAAAUAAUUUUUGGCUGCAGGAUGAUUGAUAAACAGAUAUGAUGCAUUGAUUCCUAAAGUCCUCACAAAGAGAAUCCGGAUGUUUAUAGUCCUCCAUGACUGGAGAUGGCCUAAGAUGCUAAACACUUAACACUACCCAAUUUUUCCAGUUAGUUAAAUUUUCACAAUUAGUGUAUUAAAUUGCUUAAGAAAUGUUAUCAGCACUCUAAAAUAAUUGACCAUAUUUUCUUGACUCUUUUGUUAAAUUGCAUGAAGAUUUUUUUGGAUAGUCAAUAAUAUCUCCCAAUUGCUUAACAUAGAAUUAAAUAGAGUAUCGCUAACUAGAGCAUGAUAUGUUUCUGUGUCUUUGAUGCCCUUUGCUCGAGAAAAUUUAGUAUAGGGUUUUCAUCACAAAUGGUCCCUGACAUUGAUCAAACACAUCAUUUUGGUCCCUGACAUUGAAAAUCAAUAGAAAUGGUCCCUGACAUUGAUCAAACACAUCAUUUUGGUCCCUGACAUUGAAAAUCAAUAGAAAUGGUCCCUGACAUUGAUCAAACACAUCACAAAUAGUCCUUCCGUUAAAAACGUUUUGGGCAAUUUUCAAAGCUUUGUAACUCAAUCGUUUCUUAACCAAAUUCGACCCAUAAUAUAUCAAAAUGAAGAUAGGAAAGUGUAGAACAAGAUUAUACCUAUUUGGAAACCCAAUGGUUGCCGGAGAUGGCCGGAAAACAGCCUCAAAUGUGACUGGUCCGCGAAAAAACUGGAAAACUCGCCUGAAAUGGGGUAAACUUUAAACAUUCAUAACUUCUUCAAUAAUCAACGAAAUCGAGUGAUUCAAAAAUGAAAAUCAUACUUCUCGACGAGACUAAGAGAAUGGUAGCUUUCUUGAUGGCUAACUCAUUGUAGUUUGGCCGGAAAAUGACUCGAAAUUGGCUAACUCGAAAAUGGUUAUCCAAGUUCGAGCCAUUUUCCGGUCAAACCACGGUAAAUUAGUAGUCAAUAAAGAUACCAUUAUCUUUCUCUCAUUGAGAAGUAUGAUUUUCAUUUUUGAAUCACUCAAUUUCAUUGAGUAUUGAAGAAGUUAUGAAUGUUUAAAGUUUACCCCAUUUCAGGCGAGUUUUUCAGUUUUUUCGCGGACCAGUCACAUUUGAGGCUGUUUUCCGGCCAUCUCCGGCAACCAUUGGGUUUCUAAAUAGGUAUAAUCUUGUUCUACACUUUCCUAUCUUCAUUUUGAUAUAUCAUGGGUCGAAUUUGGUUAAGAAACGAUUGAGUUACGAAGCUUUGAAAAUUGCCCAAAACGUUUUUAACGGAAGGACCAUUUGUGAUGUGUUUGAUCAAUGUCAGGGACCAUUUCUAUUGAUUUUCAAUGUCAGGGACCAAAAUGAUGUGUUUGAUCAAUGUCAGGGAUCAUUUGUGAUGAAAACCCUUUAGUAUAUGAACGACAAACUACGUGUUAUUACGGCCACAGACGAUAAUCCAGACUAUUUGUUUAAUACUUAAGCUUACUUGUGGUCCCAUUAUGUAAAAAAAUUUUGCAUUAGUCUGCACACAAGAAAUUUUUUAUUGGUUUCAGUUGAGCUCAAAUAAUAAUAAUCUGUUCGUGUAAAAGUUAAAAUUUAUCUUAUUAUGUAAUUGAUUUAAAAUACCGUAAAUACUGAUUUAAAAUUAUCUCAUUGUCAGCUUGUGUGUCAUUCUCGUAGAAUUUGGAAUUAUUCACAUUGUUUAGUAACGUAGGAUAUUUCAAGAAGCAUUUUUGCUCACUAUCAUUUAGUGUAAUGUAUAUUCAUCAUUCUAUUUAUCAUCGUUAGAUGAGUUUGAAUUUUAAGAUCCGUGUAGUGGAUAGACACAAAUUUCAAAAUUCAAUCUCAUCUAACGAUAAUAAAUAUGAUGAUGAACAUAAAUCAAAUAAAUGAUGAUGAAAAAAAAUACAUAGAUAUUUCAGUACAUGAAAACGUCACGUUAAUGAAAGGAGCUGGAGCGCCUGCUGCUGACCUCGGUCAAACAGACGGUGUGGGUUUCACGUGGCUGGCGCGAAAUCUAAACCGUUAAUUUAAUGUUAGUUAUCUCUCCCCUUGUCACGACUCCCAUGUAAUGCUGUAAAGUCACAAGCACCCAUCGUUUGGUUCUAAUAUUACAACAGUACCGCCCAUGGAAACACAAUCUUAAGCAAUCUCUAAUACUCAUAAUGUUGUUGAAGUUUUGCACUAAUAAUAGUUGCUAAACAGUGAUUAGACAGUCAGAUAAGAGACAGGGUUUAUGAUGUGAUUUGGACGUCCCAUCCUUUGCCACUUAAAAUGUCUUACCUACCAAACAUAUCUUGAAAAAUAAUUUAGCUUGGUACGAAGAAUCACAAUUUUUGUUUAUAAUUGACGAAAUCAAUCAAUGCAUGUUUUUUAUCAAAUCAAUAUUUAUUGGGAUAUUCAUCCUUAAAAUCUUCAUUUUGUUAUAAAACAACAAUAUAUUUAUUAUUUUUAAAAUUUUGUAAUACGUUUAUUUAAGUAGUGACUUUGAACGUUUUAAAAUUGAAAAAUCAAUAUUUAAAUGCAAAGUUGUCCGUUUUGAAUAAUCUCUAACAAUAUUUUCCUUCUCGUAAAUGAGUAAGAUUGGUUUAUUUUGUACACAAUUAGAUAUUGAGAGUUGAAAUUCUAAAUACUAAGUUCUUCUUAACAUAUUUUCGUAACCAUUUAAGAUGUUUGUAUAUUCGAAGAAUAUGGAAAAAUUGAAUCAACCCAGAUUAUUAUUAUGGCUGUCGACAUCUUUUAUCAGAGGAUAGCCAUCAAGUCACACCGCAUAUCCAGAAAGAGAAAUCCAUCCAAAAAAUAGGAAAACGAAAUGACAUUCCUUAUUUUCCUCCAUGGACGUCCCUUCUCUCCCCACCACGAAGGUCCCAGCUGAAAAGAAACGGAUGGCACAAUCGUGAUUAUCACAAACAGGAAUGUCAAAUUGUAGCAAGAGCAUGGUCAGCGCCGUUACAAAUAAGUGGAAGUUCCUCGGAAGAGUAAGAGAACGCGACAAUCAUAACGUAAUCUAUCUCUUCACUUUCUCAAUCCUUUUCUAUCUUUUUUUUCUUUCUGGGUUCCUUGUACUUCUCAUAAAUAUUAAGAGUUUAAUUCAAAAGAAAGGAACUUUCUCUUUCAUUGCUUACAUUUUUUUUUUCAGAUUAUUUACUUUCCCUUCCUUGCAGUUGCUUGGAAGAAACCAAGCUCAGAAGACCUUUGUUUUUUGAGAAUUCAGUUCAAUCCGUUUAUAUAUAUAUAUAUAUAUGGUGUUGAUGAUUUACCAGAAGUGAUAGUGCUUCAACCGAGAAGAAGAAGCUUUUAGUCUUCAGAAAUUCAGAGAAAAGAUAAGGAAGUGGAAGAGUGAAGGAAAAGCAAAUCAAAAGAUGGGAGAAACUGCUCCUCAUCCUCCACCACAGGUGGUUGCUCGGCCGUCUCAGAUGCCUCUUGGGGCAGCGAAGGGUCCCCAUUUGGACUCCAACUGAGCAGCUCCACAACCUUCAGUAUUGCAUCCACUCCAACCCCUCUUAGCGUUAGUCUCUCUCUGUUUCUGUUAAUUUCUUCGUUCUGGGUUUUAUAUUUUUUGAGUAAAAAGCUGAUUAAAGUUGUGCUAUUUUAAUGGGUUGGUUUAAAAGUUGAAGCUUUUGGCACUACUUCUUAUUUAGUUUACUAGUUUGCUUUUUAUUCCUAAUUUUGCAAAUUACUUUUACUAUUUUUGUUUCGGAUUCUCUAAUUUAUUGUGUUCGAAUCUUUUUAAGUACUGUAAUUAGUUCUAAUAAAAUAAUAAGCAUAUGUUCCAUUACCAGUUUCAACUUAUCCUGCUUACAAGACAUCGAUAUCACUCGAAAAUGUUUAGGAAGUGUAAACGUAAAUUUCCCAUGUUUAUCAAAUGCAACAAACUGCUUCUAAUGGAUCGAAUUUUACAGCGGAAACAUUCGUACUCGCUUUUCAGCACUAUAUUGUGAUGCUCGGAUCCAUAGUUAUAAUUGCCACUAGUUUCGUGCCUCGGAUGGGUGGGGAUCAUGUAAGUUAUGUCCUCUAUACAGUAAAGUUUAUAAUAUGCCGGUUAAGAUUAGCGAUCACACACGUAGCUUUGAAUCCGUGAUGUUAAUGUUUGGGUUUUGUUCUCCCUUUGUGAUCAGGGUGACAAGGCACGCGUGAUUCAGACGAUGCUGUUUAUGGCAGCAAUAAACACUUUGAUCCAAACAUUCACGGGACAAGGCUUCCAACAGUGAUGACUUCGUCAUUCGCUUUUACCCUUCCGGUGAUGUCAAUCAUCAAUGAUUAUUCUGAUCGGAAUUUUAGAAGUGAACAUGAGGUAUGUAAAGUUUGAAACAUGUUAUUCAUAGAGGAUUUAACAUCACAUUAAUUUACUUCUUAAAUUGCUUUAAGAAAUUUCAGUUAUAGACUUUGAGAUGAAAAAUACGUGGUGCAAAAAACGUGUAAACCUUACAUACCUGUAGAAGACGUCAUGAUGAAUUUCUGGUUUUGAGGACGGAAUAGAUUGAAGCACGUCCAUGCACUGUUGCGUCAUAUGCAACAAACUGAUGGGGAGUUCUAGGGUUGUGGCAUUAGCAAUGUGACAGGGACCUCAAACUUACAUAGGCCUCACGUCCCUAGAACCCUACCCACUAAUGGAGACUAGAAACUCUUAUGAUCCUCUAACGAGAAUAAUAAAGCCAAUGGAAAUGUUAGCACACAAUUGUUGUACAUAUAACAGACUUCGAGCAAUUUUUGGAACACGUAAAACAUUGUUAAGAAUAAGAUCAUGAGUAUUGGUUUUAAUGGUUGUUGCAUCAAUAUUCUUAAUGGAUAAACCUGUUCCAUUUCCAACUGUGAUUUUAUCAAAACCUUGGAAUGGUGUAACUUGAUUCAAUGUGGUGGCAUCAGCAGUGAUAUGAUGAGAUGCACCAGUAUCAACAAUCCAUGCAUCAUGAGGAAUAUAUUGUUCUAUCUGCUGUGUUGCCAUAGCUGUUAAGUUUGCAGGUGGUUGUUGGCCUUGAAAAACAUAAUUCCCUUUGUGAUAACAUUCAAGAGCUGAGUGACCUUUUUUUCCCACAAAUCUGACACUCCAUUUGAAAUCUAGUAUUUGGUGUAGUAGCAUUUCUGUGAAAACAAUUGACUGCAGUAUGCCCUUUCUUGUUGCAGAUUUGGCACUCAAUCACUGUUGUUGACCUGCUCUCUGUGUUUCCAUUCCACACAUUUGAACCAUUUGACCUUGAAUUGCCAUACGAAAAAUCAGAAGAGUUUCCUAUGUUGUAACCCUUGCUUUUGAAUCCACCAUUUGUCUUGUAAUUAUUGUUACCCUUGUAGUUUGAACCACCAAAAGGUUUCUGCAUGAAAUGAGGUAUUGGACCAGAAUUUGAUGCAUUAGCCAUAAACCCAAAACCAUAGGGAACUUGAGGAUAAACUGGACCAGGAAAUUGCGGAGACAUAGGAGGUUGAGGCAUAUGAGGUUGCUGUGGAUAUUGUUGUGGCAAGACAAAUGGCUGUGGUUAUUGUGGCUGUGGAUAUUGUUGUGGAUAUUGCUGUGGUAAAACAAAUGGCUCAGCAGAAUAUGGAUAUGGAUUAGGAGUUAUAACACCACCAGUGGUUGCAGGUAAAUGACUAUGCCCUGCAGGAUUAGACCCUGAAGCAAAUGAAUUUCCCUGAGUUGACUAAGAACCCUAAACAUAUAAGGCAGAUAGACUUUGAGACCCAACACUUGUGUCUCAUUCAAUCUCUUUUUCAGCUCUAAAUUUUUUCAAGGAAAUGGAUGAUUCUUUGCCAUAUAUCACAGUUCGAAUAGUUGCAUACUCCUUCGGCAAACCAGCUAAACCAGCAAUUAUAACAUCAUUAUCAGAAAUGAACUCUCCAGUAGCAGUUAAUUGUUCUCUUAUACUCUUCAAUCUUAACAGAUAUUUAUCCAUCAAAUCUCCUCAUUUUUGAAUGGUGUACAACUCAAUUUUUAAAUGAUUUACCCUAGUUUUAGACACUGAAGCAAAUCUAUCCACAAGAUUCGACCAAGCCUCACAAGCAGUUAAACAUCCAAGAACAUAUUUAAUAGCCUCAUCAAACAAAGUAGCUAGUAAAAGACUUAGUAAUGGAUAUGUGGAUUCCCAUUCAACAUAUUCAGCAAGUUCAGAAGUAACUCCUCUCUUAGUAUCUAUUACAAAUUUUUGUGGACAACCAAUAGUGCCAUCAAAAUGCCCAAACAAUUUAUGACCUUUCAACACAUAUUUGAACUGAAAAGCCCAUUUCACAAAAUUAUCAUCCUUCAACUUUAUUGUGAUCAUUCCCAGUUUCAACUUUAACACUUGAAGUAGUCAUGAUUUCUUGAUCGAACACAUAGAAUUUGCAAAUAACAAACAAACACCCAAAAAUUUCUGAUAUACGUAUUGAAAGGAAAGACUGAAACUUUCUCACAACCCAAGCAAGACUGAAACUCGCUUAAUACUCAGGAAAAACUGAAACUUUCUUGAUGAAUCUUGCACACAAAUACAACACACAAUUCCAAUUCGGAAAAGAAAACACAAAAUCUUCUAAUCAGGACUGAAACCCAAUUACUCAACAGAAAUUCACACUAUCACUUGAAUUGCAGCUGUGAUUGCAGCCACAAAUAGCCAGAAUACCAACCGCCAGAAAGAACAACAAGGAUCUGCAAUCGCCAGAACUUUUGAACAAACCCGUUGAAAAGACCUUUCAGAAUCCUUGAACUGGAUAGCAGCGAAAGAACUAGGAUCGAAAACGGUAGUGAACCAUGGUCAGCGAUGAUACCAUAUUAACAGUGUUGAAUUGUGGCCAAGUGGCCAUCACCUUUCGGCUAAUAAACAAACAAAGAAAAGAAAAAGAAAGACAAAAUGAUGAGGAAACAUCAUGAUGAGGAGGCAUCAUGAUUAUGCUUUCUUGUAGUUUUUUAAUAACCAUAAUUAUUGUUUUUGUUUCGGGUAGAAGAGAAGAAAGGGAGAGCUCAUUUUUUAGAAGAAAGCAUAUUAAAGAGAGAAGAGGAGAGAGAGAAGGUAGAGCCUUUUGGUUAUAAAAGGCAUUCGAUUAUGCCUUUGGAUGUGGGAGGGGGGGGAGCGGCAGAUGAGAGAGCACAGGGAGAGCAUUCGGCUCUCCCAUUUGAAUAUGAGCUGCUCCUUCCCACCAUUUGUAAUAAUCCCAUUUUGUUAGUAAUCACUCAAUCAAAGAUGUUGGUGCUACUUGUGUAGCUUUUGGGAGAGAAGGAUUUUGAUAUGUGUUUCUUCUUCUCCAUUUGUUUCUUAGUUUGAGUGAGAGCUAUUGGGUGUAUGUGGGAUUUGGGUUUGAGUGUUGAACUCUAUUUGUAAUCUCCUUUUGAUAUUAAUGGAAUUUCCUCGCCGUCUCGGAACUGGAUGUAGGCUUACGCCAAACCAGUAUAAAAAUCCUUGUGUCUUUUGGAUUAUUUGUCUUGUCAUAUUUUGCCGUUAUUAGCUUUGAUUUCAUAUUUGAAGCUUCCGCACAACAAGUGGUAUCAAAGCUCCGGGUUUCGACUUGGAGGCUUUGUACUAGUAUGUCUAUGAAAUCUUCAAAUGACGGUGAAAUAUGUUUUUUGGAAAAAUUCGACUGGAGGAAUGACUUUGGCAUUUGGUCAAUUGGAGAUGCAGAGUUUGGCUGCAAAAUGCGUGGCGUUGAAGAAGGAUAGUAAGGGACUAUGCUGCAGUCAUUGAGCUUGCAGAUUGGAGAAUGGUUUCGGAAACAGCGUGUCUGCUGCAAUGUUGCCGUCGAUGUUGUUGAAGUGUUGGUGUUCGACAGCUGCAGAUGUAGUGUACUGCUUUUGGUGGGUUCUCUGUUGGUCAUCGCUGCACCGGAGGUGUUUGUGGGCUGUUGUCGACGAGUUGAGUGGGAAGGAGAAAAGGUAGAAGCAGUUGAAAAUUGAAAAGAAAAUGUUGGUUCUUUUUCUUUCGGCAUUUGUUUUGGCAGAAGGACAUCAUGAUGACAAAUGAUGUUGUUGGCUGGAAGAAAAGGGAAAAAGGCUAAGGCUAAGUUUUCUUUUCUUUGGCAUUUUUUCAACGGCAGAAAAUUUUUGGUUCUUUUUUCACUCCCAUUAGUUGCCUUUGGAGCAAGUUGAUGGAAACAUUGGAGGAGUUUGUGAGGGCCAAUUUGUUGAGUUCUGCAAGUUUGGAUAGUGAGGCACCACACUAUUUUGGAUACACCACAUGCACUGCAGAACAUUUGUGUGGAACCCUCUUGUAGAAGGCAAGUUAUAUGCUUUCUAACUUUGUUUGGUCUAUGGACAUUUAGUUGGAUUUGUUUGCCACUGCUAUUUGGUUUGUUGGUCUCCAUCAUCUGCAAUUAGUUUUCUUGAAGACUCCAGUUGAGGUAUGGUUUUGGAUCUCCUGCUGAUUAUUUGAAUUUGAAAUUUUUGGUUGUCCUGUUGGUGCUCAUGUGAUGAUGGUAAACUUGAGUGGAGGGCAUAGUUUUUUUGUAUGUGGUAUGUUAGACCUUGUUGCCAAAUUUGUAAUCAGUUUUGACUUGGAGAAUAUGCCGUGCUAUUUGAAUGAGUCUAUUGAUGCAGUUUAAGACCAUGGUGUUUGUAAGCAGGUGGAGUUCGUUCUGUGUCCAACUUUGGUAUGGUGUGCUUGAUCUUUUGUUAGUGAUAUUGAAGAAUUUCAGUUCUUCGUUUGAAUCACUUUUGUUUUGAUCAAGGCACUUAUGGUUUGCAAAUUUGGAGAAUACGGUAGAGAAAUGGUCUACUUUUGUUGGCUUUGGUAUAAUUUGAGUCGAGGUGGAGAUCAUUAUGAGUACCGGAAAGUUUGGGGAAUUUGAUUUAGUUCCCGUUGUCUUUAGUUUGUACUUUGGGUGAUUAUGGUGAUUGUUGAUUCGAUUCUCUGUGAUGGUUUCGGAACUUGGCCAAGGUGGAGAUUGUUGAAUUGUGGCCAAGUGGCCAUCAUCGGCUAAUAAACAAACAAAAGAAAAGAAAAAGAAAGACAAAAUGAUGAGGAAACAUCAUGAUGAGGAGGCAUCAUGAUUAUGCUUUCUUCUUUUGUGGUUUUUUAAUAACCAUAAUUAUUGUUUGUUUAUUAGCCGAAAGGUGAUGGCCACUUGGCCACAAUUCAACAAUCUCCACCUUGGCCAAGUUCCGAAACCAUCACAGAGAAUCGAAUCAACAAUCACCAUAAUCACCCAAAGUACAAACUAAAGACAACGGGAACUAAAUCAAAUUCCCCAAACUUUCCGAUACUCAUAAUGAUCUCCACCUUGACUCAAAUUGUACCAAAGCCAACAAAAGUAGACCACUUCUCUACCGUCUUCUCCAAAUUUAAAUCCUAUGAAGAAAGGGAGAGCUCAUUUUUUAGAAGAAAGCAGAUUGAAGAGAGAAGAGGAGAGAGAAGGUAGAACCUUUUGGUUAUAAAAGGCAUUCGAUUAUGCCUUUGGAUGUGGGGAGAGCGGCAGAUGAGAGAGCACAGGGAGAGCAUUCGGCUCUCCCAUUUGAAUAUGAGUUGCUCCUUCCCACCAUUUGUAAUAAUCCAAUUUUGUUAGUAAUCACUCAAUCAAAGAUGUUGGUGCUACUUGUGUAGCUUUUGGGAGAGAAGGAUUUUGAUAUGUGUUUCUUCUUCUCCAUUUGUUUCUUAGUUUGAGUGAGAGCUAUUGGGUGUAUGUGGGAUUUGGGUUUGAGUGUUGAACUCUAUUUGUAAUCUUCUUUUGAUAUUAGUGGAAUUUCCUCGCCGUCUCGGAACUGGAUGUAGGCUUAUGCCGAACCAGUAUAAAAAUCCUUGUGUCUUUUGGAUUAUUUGUCUUGUCAUAUUUUGCCAUUAUUAGCUUUGGUUUCAUAUUUGAAGCUUCAGCAAUACAAACAGUACAAGAUCAAUGAAUUCCUAUGAAUGAAUAAACUAAAGAAAUCGAAGAAAGAGAAUAACGAGAGAGAAAAGCUUUUCAUUUAUAUUGCUCUAACAGAAAAUGAUUACAUGAUAAAAAUCUAAGUCUCCAAAACAAUAAUUAUAUAGAGACUAGAAUGAGCAGAAUCACAAUAUUGCCUUUCUAACUAAUUCUUAUCUUCUAACAACCUCAACACUCACAAGCUUGACACUUGUCAUUUCUUACAACCACUCCUAACAAAUCCUAACUGUUUAUCUGGUUAAUAUAACGGAUGGCCGACGACCGACACCGAGAUUUUCCCAAACCUUGGUCCUUACUCUCGUAUAAAUUCGAAACGAACAGUAAACAAUUUUCUCGCAAUCGGAAGCACGGCAAACAUGGAUCUGAGAGAAAGCAUCAUCAACCAAAACGACGUCGCAAGGAGGCUGACGAAGCAGCUGGUUCAGACCGAAGGCAAGCAGUCGAACCUCGUGUACUCGCCGCUGUCCAUCCACGUGGUGCUGAGCCUGAUCGCAGCCGGGUCAAAGGGUCCCACCCAGGAGCAGCUGCUCUCAUUCCUCAAGUCAGAGUCCACCGACCACCUCAACUCCUUCGCCUCCCAGCUCCUGCCCUUUAUCUUCUCCGAUGGGUCCCCCGUGGGCGGCCCCAAGCUGGCGUUUGCGAAUGGCGUUUGGGUGCAGAAGCCUCUCCCUCUGAAGCCUUCCUUCAAGCAGGUGGUGGAAGCUUCUUACAGGGCCGCUCUCGUCCUAGUUGAUUUUCAGACCAAUGUAAGCUCCCAAACCCUCUGUCAUGUCGUUUCGAUUGUUUUUGUCGAUGCUGCUCAUGAUCAAAGUCUUUGGUUGUAAUUUCAGACCAAUGUUUCAAUGUCGAUGCUGCUGAUGCUCUUUUGUUCGUUACUGUUUUUGGUUGUAAUUGAUCGAGAUAUGCAGGUUGAUAUCAUUGUUUUCUAACUUGUCGUAACUGUUGUUGGUGCUCAAGGCUGCUCAAGUGGAGUCGGAAGUGAAUUCAUGGGCUGAAAAGGAGACGAGCGGCCUUAUCAAGGAUCUACUUCCUCCCGGGUCACUUGACAGCUUCACCAGGCUCAUCUUUACCAAUGCAUUAUACUUCAAGGGAGCUUGGAAUGAGAAAUUUGAUGCAACAGCUACAAAAGAGCAUGACUUCCACCUUCUCGACGGGAGCACAGUUAAGGCGCCCUUCAUGACCAACAAGAACCAGCAGUAUGUAAGUGCCUUUGACGGUUUCUCAGUCUUAGGGCUUCCUUACAAACAAGGUGAAGACAAGCGGCGCUUCUCCAUGCACAUCUUUCUUCCACAGGAGAAAGAUGGGCUGCCAGCUUUGGUUGAGAAACUUGGCUCUGAGUCCGGGUUUUUAGAUCGCUAUCUUCCCAAACAACCAGUUGCAGUGGGCGACUUCAGAAUCCCAAAGUUUAAGAUCUCAUUUGGGUUUGAAGCUUCCAAUGUCCUAAAGAGUCUGGGACUGGUGCUGCCUUUCGUGGGUGGAGGUCUGACAGAGAUGGUGGACUCGCCCGAGGGUAAGAAGCUAUAUGUUUCCAACAUAUUCCACAAGUCGUUCAUCGAAGUGAAUGAAGAAGGCACAGAAGCUGCAGCUGCUUCUGCCGGCGUUAUAAGUGAUAGGAGGAUGCCCAUGACAUUUGUGGCUGAUCGUCCGUUCCUCUUCACGAUCAGGGAAGAAACGACCGGAACAGUUCUGUUCAUCGGUAACCUGCUCAACCCUCUUGCCGGCUGAGUGUUACAAUCCCCUGGGAAAAGGCAUCAUGUGUACGUAGAAUAAUACGAGAGUAUAGUAAAUAAAAUGUAUGAUCCUUGUAUACAUGUGCUAGGUUUGGUUAUUACCUAAUCACCCUGUACUUGCCGCAGUUGGUCUUGUUUCUCCCAUGUGGCGAUUGUUGCUCGUUCUCCCAUGGCGUUUAUCUAUUUGUACAAUCUUGAUUCUGAAUACUUAUUUUAUGUUGUACUCUGUUUGAACAAUUAAAGUUUUAGCC